UACAGAGGUCCCGAGCGUUGUUCGGAUUCACUGGGCGUAAAGGGUGCGUAGGCGGCUUAGCAAGUCUGAUGUGAAAUCUCCAGGCCCAACCUGGAAAUGGCAUUAGAAACUGCUGGGCUGGAGGCUUGGAGGGGGAACUGGAAUGCUCGGUGUAGCAGUGAAAUGCGUAGAGAUCGAGCGGAACACCAGUGGCGAAGGCGAGUUCCUGGACAAGACCUGACGCUGAGGCACGAAAGCCAGGGGAGCAAACAGG
rnacentral:rRNA from 1 species